UUCCUGCACUGGGGUAUGAAGCGAUAGGUGAUAUUUUGGGGUGCCCUUCUGGCAUUCUCUGGUAUCUCGUCACUGUCCAGGCCACAACCCCAUGCUGCGCGACAAGGAGUGGCCUGCCCACAAAAAACGUUGGCGCUAUGGGAAACAUGCUCAGUGAACCCUAACACACACAUCCUCUCCAGCUGGGCCCUGAAACUGGAAAUGCCCUUCCCACGGGGGCAUGUUAACACCCUUCCUUCCUCCACCAGGAGAGGGGAGAUUGGGACCCACAGUGACGUCACAGUACUUACUGUCUGCUCAUAGUUCUAGGCGCCCCGCAAAUAAGAGGGAUCUUCAAUUCAGCCUGUGGAAACGAAAAGUAAACUCGUUACUGAGCCAGACACAUCAUGUUUUAAUUCUGGUGAACACGCUACUGUCGUUUCUUGUUAAAAUGGGAUAUAGGUGCCAGCUUAGGGGAAGUGACGGGAAGAGAAUCAAUCCAGUCAAGCUUCCUCCAGAGCAACAUUGCAGAGGCUUUGCCAAAGCGCUCACAUGAAGGACAUCAGGAAUGGACAGGACCUCCAAUUGGCCUGACCUACUGCUGUCUUCCUGAGUUUUGAAAUAACCAUUCCCUAUGGUUUGAGGGAGCCUCAGGGAUCAACAGCAUGGAGCAACAUGAUCGAGGGUCUACAAUACAAUAGAGAUAAAGAGGAUAAUCAGAUAAGUAACAUUGGUACACAAUAAAAAAGUCAGUAUUGAUAAAUUAUGGCCAUGUCAAUAUCUUGUAAAGCAAACAGACCUUGAUUACACUCUCUUUUCUGUCUCACUCAUUUAGAUUUUGUUUGUUUUCUCCAAGAAAAACCUGGCAGAGAUGCCUCCUGGCAUCUUGGAGGGCAAGCAUUGUACCCACCUUCACUCUUACAUUUGAGCUCCUCAUCCUUGUGAGUGAGAGGAUGGUCAGCAUGAUUCCAAAGUCACCCCAAACCAGAAAGGAAACGAUUUCAAUUUAGAAUAUUAAAAAAUAUAUAUCCACAGGGGCUUCAGGAGUUAACUUCUACUUUCAAUGACCUAUUUUGAAAUGAGGCUGCCUUUCUAGGGGGCUGUCCUAAUGAAGGUCAGCCAAGAAAGCCAGCAACCAGCCUGGCCUUUAGAUUUUAGUAGCAAACAGUCAGGGGGUCCAAGCUCCAGGAUGAGAAGAUUGAAAACAUCUAGUCUUUUAAUUUUUAAUGGGUAGGUAUCUUGAUUCUUUCUUCCAACAGAAUGAAGGGAUCUUUAAAAAGUGAGUUAAGGGAGCUGGCUUUCUUUAUGCUGUUCAAUGCUUUAAAGAAGGCCCAGCAUUGGACAUUAUAAAAACUUUUUUUGCUUGGUGUCAGCUCUUUCUUAAUGAUCAUUCAUGCCAGUGAGAUGCCCACCCAGAUGGACCUGGCCUACUUAGUUUACCUGAAGAGCAUGGACGUGCACAAGGUCCCGUGCUGAGAUGUUGGUCUUCUGCGAGGAGCCCCUGUGGCAGCAUUGCAGAGAACUCCAGGAGCCAGUAAUCCUGCUUUUGCAAUGCCACUAAUGCAUUAUAGAAGGCCACCAGAAACACUGCCUGAUGGAUAAGUGAUCUACAACAUCUGUGGACAAAGGAUGCAGUGUAUGGACUGAGCUGCCUAUGGGUCUGAAUGGGAUAUUUCUGUCAAUACUUGACACAGUGCCAAGUUCAGGCUUCUGUCACAUAGCUGGUCUUGAGAUGGUGUCAAGGCCUGGGUUUGACUCUGCAACUUGCAAAUACAUCUAUAAACCCCAAAGCACAAGAGAGACUGCUCAACACCAUCAUGAUAGGCAAGAUGACUGGUGUUCUUGUAACAAGAGGAGAGACACACAGAAAGGGGAAUACCAUGUGAAGACCCAGCCACACACUGGGAGAAGAUGGCCAUGUGAAGAUGAAAGAAAAGAUCCAAGUGAUGUGGUGGCAAGCCAAAAAAUACCUGGGCUGUUAGAAGCUGACAGAAGUAAAGAAGGAUCCUCUGCUCUAGAUUUUGGAGGAAUCAUAGUCCUACUGACACCCUGAUGGGAGACUUCUGGCCUCCAGAACUGUAACAGAAGACAUUUCUGUGGUGGUCCUUUUGGAUAUCCAUCAGGACCUAGCUCUGGGUGCAGUCACAUUCUACAUGAGCUUCCUCAGCCACUUCUACUGUGUUUAUGCCACAUCUACUUCACAAUCAGCCAGCACCUAACCUGAUAUUUACUCCUUGAGCCUCUUACCUCCAACACUGAGCACUUCACUUGCUGCUGAAGCAUGAGCCUUUGGACUUGGACUGAAACAUUGGCUCUUCUUGGGUCUCGAGUUUCAAACUGGAACUUAAGCCACAUGUUCUCCUGCUUCUCAGCCCUUUGAAUUCAGUCUGGAACUACACAUUCAAUCCCCUGGGUCUCUGUCUUGUUGACAGUGCAUCUUGGGACUUUUUUUUCAGCUUCUGAACCAUAUAAGGAAGCUUGAGACUCAGCCAAGUGAAGAGACCUGUUAAUCAUGCAGCUUGAAUGCAGUGACCAUACUGGAGCUCAGACCUCCUGACUCUAAGCCAUGUGCAUCUCCUCUUCUUCAGGGGACCAAUAAAGGAGUUUAGAUUCUUACUGGGGCUGAUGAGGCAACAAGAACUGGUGGGGACAAUUACCUGAAAAAUCUCCUUUUUCAUAGUGUGGUUGAGUGUCCUACAUUAAAUGAUAUCUCCUGGCCCCUCUGCACCAGGUUGGGUAGGUGAGAGCCCAGCUGAAAACUGGCAUUCUUUUGCUAGGACUGCAAAUCUCCAUUGAACUUCUGGUCCUCUCCAUGUUCUGUUCUAGAUGUUGGCAGGAUGAAUAAAACCCAGCCCCUGCUCUCAAAGAACUUGCAGUUAGGUAAAGACUUCCCUGUUGUGUUCUGAAGACAAUAAGAAGCCACUGAAGAAUUUUAUGCAGAGAAAUGUCACGAUCUGAUUUCCAUUUUCCAUGAGGUCAUUUGGAGGAGGUGUGAAGGAGAGUACCUAGAAUGUCUCGUAAAGUAUCUAGAGUAUCUGGUACCUAGAAAAGUAUAUAUUUAGAGAAGAGAGAGGGAACCCAAAGCAAAGAGACCAGUGGGGAGACUCACAAUUGUCUAGGAUCUAGGGUUCAGAAAGAUAGUAUGGUCAGGAAGGGCCAAGUGCCCAAUAUGGACUGGAAGGCUUAGAACUGAUGGGCUAGGCAGGUGAAGAGGGAGAUUCUAAGGACUGUGGCCAGGUUGGAUGGGUCUAUAGGAACAUAUACAAUGGGGCAGGAAGGAGGAAGAUAGCCCUAUUUUGGAGGGCUAGAGUUGCUUGAAGGUACAUAUGCCUGGUAUGAUGCAUGCACAUUUUGGAUGAAUAUGGUGGGGAUCAGCACCUGGAGGGAGGGACUGAGAGGUGGCACUCUGCAUAGAAGUGACUGGAGGCUUCUCACAGUGGUGUUUAGUGAUAUGACAACUGGCUAUUUUUCAAGAAAGGAGGUGCUAUAGGAGUUUGUGAAGCAGCCCAAGUCCUUUUAACACCAUCCACUUGCACCACUAUUUCUUGGAUAUGAGUCUGGAAUUCUGCUUCCAGUCAUGUUUUACUCUUGAAUUGUGAAAGUUAUUAACCCUAAUUGAAUUAUUAUUUAACAAAAUGCCUAGAAUAGUGCCUGGAAUGUGGUCUUUGCUGUUCGAGUACUUAUUAAGUAAAAUAAAUAAAUGCACUCCCAUCUAGAUGGCAGCUGAACUUUUUCUUCUUGCUGGGUACACAUUAAGCCUUGGGCAGGAAACAGAGAGAGAAGCCUGGGAGAAGCCCAUCAUAUAAAUGGGCUAAAGAAGACUGUUAGAAGGACCAUCCAGAGACUAAAAGAACAUCAGCAAAAGCUCAUGUCACAUCAUCACCCCUUCAAGGAGGAGAUGUCAACAGGAACAGAACCCAGGUGACAGAACAAAUAAGUUAAAGAUGGCAAGUGAUUUAUUAGGUUUGGAAUCCACCUCAAAGACAAGAGUUGG